rnacentral:lncRNA from 1 species
AGCGGGGUGGACGUGUGUUUGUCAGCUCCCCGUUAUUCCUUUGCUGGACCCUAAUAACCGUAAUUAGCAUGUCAGGUGUAAUAAGCGCGAACCGCGCAGUAUCAUUAAGAGGAGGCGCGCUCGCUGGUGUGGUCGAGGGAACUUUCACAAGAGAUCUCGUCGGAGUAUCGAGAGGCGCUGUUUCCCGCCUUUUUAGAUAGACGUGUAGUUAGCGGUCGCGAGCGUUAAUAAUCUCCGUGUGCGUUAUUAGGGUCAUCAAUACCAGCUUGACAAAACUUAGGGAAGAACUUUGUUGUACUGCGACAGAAGACCAAGGCUAUUCGUGACACUGAAUGAAGACAAUCUAGGACUCCUGAUGUUGCCUCCCAGGAACGGUUCGCUUCCCACAUCAACCCCACGAAACUCCAGGACCAAAGACAGGACUGUGUCUCUCCGCCACCAAGGCUAUUCACGACAAUGAAGACCAUCUGGGACUCUGACUUUGCCUCCCAGGAACGGUUCACUUCCCAUAUCAACCCUACGAAACUCCGCGACCAAAGGCAGGACUGCGUCUCUCCGCCACCAAGGCCAUUCACGACAGUGAAGACCCUCUAGGACUCCCGACGUCGCCUCCCAGGAACGAUUCACUUCCCACAUCAACCCUACGAAACUCCGGGACCAAAGACAGGACUGUGUCUCUCCGCCACCAAGAUAAGCAAUGCAGCAUGAAAUAUGGCAGAAAUAUACUGGCACUAUUGAAUGCAAAGCA